AUGACGUUGGGAAAGCGAGCGGCGGAUGGGUGAGUAACACGUGGGGAACCUGCCCCUAAGUCUGGGAUACCAUUUGGAAACAGGUGCUAAUACCGGAUAAUAAAGCAGAUCGCAUGAUCAGCUUUUGAAAGGCGGCGUAAGCUGUCGCUAAGGGAUGGCCCCGCGGUGCAUUAGCUAGUUGGUAAGGUAACGGCUUACCAAGGCGACGAUGCAUAGCCGAGUUGAGAGACUGAUCGGCCACAUUGGGACUGAGACACGGCCCAAACUCCUACGGGAGGCAGCAGUAGGGAAUCUUCCACAAUGGACGCAAGUCUGAUGGAGCAACGCCGCGUGAGUGAAGAAGGUUUUCGGAUCGUAAAGCUCUGUUGUUGGUGAAGAAGGAUAGAGGUAGUAACUGGCCUUUAUUUGACGGUAAUCAACCAGAAAGUCACGGCUAACUACGUGCCAGCAGCCGCGGUAAUACGUAGGUGGCAAGCGUUGUCCGGAUUUAUUGGGCGUAAAGCGAGCGCAGGCGGAAAAAUAAGUCUAAUGUGAAAGCCCUCGGCUUAACCGAGGAACUGCAUCGGAAACUGUUUUUCUUGAGUGCAGAAGAGGAGAGUGGAACUCCAUGUGUAGCGGUGGAAUGCGUUAGAUAUAUGGAAAGAACACCA
rnacentral:rRNA from 1 species